CAAGUGUUUAGUAAUCCUUUCUUUAUUUUUAUAUGAUUGAUAAUACCCAAAGAUAUUGUGCAAUCAUAAUCUAUAUGGAUCGGAAAUUAGAAAAGGAGAUGUUUUCUGCUAUGAUGAAUGAAAUGCUAUUUCUAAGGAAAGUUAAUAUGGUUUGACACCACAAGCUGACAUUGUUUUACUCACAAGUUUAUUAUGAAAAUAAAUGGGAGUGGUUAUUUCUUCACCAUGUGUGCUUUUUCU
rnacentral:misc_RNA from 1 species